rnacentral:piRNA from 1 species
UACGUUAGAAACAGGUAGCCCUGAAUGCCA